rnacentral:rRNA from 1 species
GGGUCAGCGACUUAUAUUCUGUAGCAAGGUUAACCGAAUAGGGGAGCCGGAGGGAAACCGAGUCUUAACCGGGCGUUAAGUUGCAGGGUAUAGACCCGAAACCCGGUGAUCUAGCCAUGGGCAGGUUGAAGGUUGGGUAACACUAACUGGAGGACCGAACCGACUAAUGUUGAAAAAUUAGCGGAUGACCUGUGGCUGGGGGUGAAAGGCCAAUCAAACCGGGAGAUAGCUGGUUCUCCCCGAAAGCUAUUUAGGUAGCGCCUCGUGAAUUCAUCUCCGGGGGUAGAGCACUGUUUCGGCUNGUCUGGAAAGGCGCGCGAUACAGGGUGACAGCCCCGUACACAAAAGCGCAUGUGCUGUGAGCUCGAUGAGUAGGGCGGGACACGUGGUAUCCUGUCUGAAUAUGGGGGGACCAUCCUCCAAGGCUAAAUACUCCUGACUGACCGAUAGUGAACCAGUACCGUGAGGGAAAGGCGAAAAGAACCCCGGCGAGGGGAGUGAAAAAGAACCUGAAACCGUGUACGUACAAGCAGUGGGAGCACAGGUUUACCUGUGUGACUGCGUACCUUUUGUAUAAUGGGUCAGCGACUUAUAUUCUGUAGCAAGGUUAACCGCAUAGGGGAGCCGGAGGGAAACCGAGUCUUAACCGGGCGUUAAGUUGCAGGGUAUAGACCCGAAACCCGGUGAUCUAGCCAUGGGCAGGUUGAAGGUUGGGUAACACUAACUGGAGGACCGAACCGACUAAUGUUGAAAAAUUAGCGGAUGACCUGUGGCUGGGGGUGAAAGGCCAAUCAAACCGGGAGAUAGCUGGUUCUCCCCGAAAGCUAUUUAGGUAGCGCCUCGUGAAUUCAUCUCCGGGGGUAGAGCACUGUUUCGGCUAGGGGGCCAUCCCGGCUUACCAACCCGAUGCAAACUGCGAAUACCGGAGAAUGUUAUCACGGGAGACACACGGCGGGUGCUAACGUCCGUCGUGAAGAGGGAAACAACCCAGACCGCCAGCUAAGGUCCCAAAGUCAUGGUUAAGUGGGAAACGAUGUGGGAAGGCCCAGACAGCCAGGAUGUUGGCUUAGAAGCAGCCAUCAUUUAAAGAAAGCGUAAUAGCUCACUGGUCGAGUCGGCCUGCGCGGAAGAUGUAACGGGGCUAAACCAUGCACCGAAGCUGCGGCAGCGACGCUUAUGCGUUGUUGGGUAGGGGAGCGUUCUGUAAGCCUGUGAAGGUGGCCUGUGAGGGUUGCUGGAGGUAUCAGAAGUGCGAAUGCUGACAUAAGUAACGAUAAAGCGGGUGAAAAGCCCGCUCGCCGGAAGACCAAGGGUUCCUGUCCAACGUUAAUCGGGGCAGGGUGAGUCGACCCCUAAGGCGAGGCCGAAAGGCGUAGUCGAUGGGAAACGGGUUAAUAUUCCCGUACUUGGUGUUACUGCGAAGGGGGGACGGAGAAGGCUAUGUUGGCCGGGCGACGGUUGUCCCGGUUUAAGCGUGUAGGUGUGUGUUCCAGGUAAAUCCGGUUCACUUUAACACUGAGGCGUGAUGACGAGGCACUACGGUGCUGAAGCAACAAAUGCCCUGCUUCCAGGAAAAGCCUCUAAGCAUCAGGUAACAUCAAAUCGUACCCCAAACCGACACAGGUGGUCAGGUAGAGAAUACCAAGGCGCUUGAGAGAACUCGGGUGAAGGAACUAGGCAAAAUGGUGCCGUAACUUCGGGAGAAGGCACGCUGACACGUAGGUGAAGUGAUUUACUCAUGGAGCUGAAGUCAGUCGAAGAUACCAGCUGGCUGCAACUGUUUAUUAAAAACACAGCACUGUGCAAACACGAAAGUGGACGUAUACGGUGUGACGCCUGCCCGGUGCCGGAAGGUUAAUUGAUGGGGUCAGCGCAAGCGAAGCUCCUGAUCGAAGCCCCGGUAAACGGCGGCCGUAACUAUAACGGUCCUAAGGUAGCGAAAUUCCUUGUCGGGUAAGUUCCGACCUGCACGAAUGGCGUAAUGAUGGCCAGGCUGUCUCCACCCGAGACUCAGUGAAAUUGAACUCGCUGUGAAGAUGCAGUGUACCCGCGGCAAGACGGAAAGACCCCGUGAACCUUUACUAUAGCUUGACACUGAACAUUGAGCCUUGAUGUGUAGGAUAGGUGGGAGGCUUUGAAGUGUGGACGCCAGUCUGCAUGGAGCCGACCUUGAAAUACCACCCUUUAAUGUUUGAUGUUCUAACGUGGACCCGUGAUCCGGGUUGCGGACAGUGUCUGGUGGGUAGUUUGACUGGGGCGGUCUCCUCCUAAAGAGUAACGGAGGAGCACGAAGGUUGGCUAAUCCUGGUCGGACAUCAGGAGGUUAGUGCAAUGGCAUAAGCCAGCUUGACUGCGAGCGUGACGGCGCGAGCAGGUGCGAAAGCAGGUCAUAGUGAUCCGGUGGUUCUGAAUGGAAGGGCCAUCGCUCAACGGAUAAAAGGUACUCCGGGGAUAACAGGCUGAUACCGCCCAAGAGUUCAUAUCGACGGCGGUGUUUGGCACCUCGAUGUCGGCUCAUCACAUCCUGGGGCUGAAGUAGGUCCCAAGGGUAUGGCUGUUCGCCAUUUAAAGUGGUACGCGAGCUGGGUUUAGAACGUCGUGAGACAGUUCGGUCCCUAUCUGCCGUGGGCGCUGGAGAACUGAGGGGGGCUGCUCCUAGUACGAGAGGACCGGAGUGGACGCAUCACUGGUGUUCGGGUUGUCAUGCCAAUGGCACUGCCCGGUAGCUAAAUGCGGAAGAGAUAAGUGCUGAAAGCAUCUAAGCACGAAACUUGCCCCGAGAUGAGUUCUCCCUGAGACUUAGAGUCUCCUGAAGGAACGUUGAAGACGACGACGUUGAUAGGCCGGGUGUGUAAGCGCAGCGAUGCGUUGAGCUAACCGGUACUAAUGAACCGUGAGGCUUAACC